rnacentral:rRNA from 1 species
UAGGGAAUCUUCGGCAAUGGACGAAAGUCUGACCGAGCAACGCCGCGUGAGUGAAGAAGGUUUUCGGAUCGUAAAACUCUGUUGUUAGAGAAGAACAAGGACGUUAGUAACUGAACGUCCCCUGACGGUAUCUAACCAGAAAGCCACGGCUAACUACGUGCCAGCAGCCGCGGUAAUACGUAGGUGGCAAGCGUUGUCCGGAUUUAUUGGGCGUAAAGCGAGCGCAGGCGGUUUCUUAAGUCUGAUGUGAAAGCCCCCGGCUCAACCGGGGAGGGUCAUUGGAAACUGGGAGACUUGAGUGCAGAAGAGGAGAGUGGAAUUCCAUGUGUAGCGUUGAAAUGCGUAGAUUGAUGGAGGAACACCAGUGGCGAAGGCGGCUCUCUGGUCUGUAACUGACGCUGAGGCUCGAAAGCGUGGGGAGCAAACAGG